GACGAACGCUGGCGGCGUGCUUAACACAUGCAAGUCGAACGGUGAAGCGAGUGCUUGCACUCGUGGAUCAGUGGCGAACGGGUGAGUAACACGUGAGUAACCUGCCCAUCACUCUGGGAUAAGCACUGGAAACGGUGUCUAAUACUGGAUACGACCAACCCUUGCAUGGGGUGUUGGUGGAAAGAUGUAUCGGUGAUGGAUGGACUCGCGGCCUAUCAGCUUGUUGGCGGGGUAGUGGCACACCAAGGCGACGACGGGUAGCCGGCCUUGGAGGGUGACCGCGCACACUGGGACUGCGGCACGGACCAGACUCGUACGUGAGGCAGCAGUGGGGAAUCUUGCCCAGUGGGAGCGAGCCUGAUGCAGAGGCGCCGCGUGAGGGAUGCCGGCCUUCGGGUUGAAAACCUCUUUCGGCAGGGAAGAAGCGAUAGUGACGGUACCUGAAGAAGAAGCACCGGCUAACUACGUG
rnacentral:rRNA from 1 species